rnacentral:rRNA from 1 species
GGAUCCAGACUUUGAUUAUGGCUCAGGAUGAACGCUAGCUACAGGCUUAACACAUGCAAGUCGAGGGGCAGCGGGAUUGAAGCUUGCUUCAAUUGCCGGCGACCGGCGCACGGGUGAGUAACGCGUAUCCAACCUUCCGUACACUCAGGGAUAGCCUUUCGAAAGAAAGAUUAAUACCUGAUAGUAUCUUAAGCACACAUGUAAUUAAGAUUAAAGAUUUAUCGGUGUACGAUGGGGAUGCGUUCCAUUAGGUAGUAGGCGGGGUAACGGCCCACCUAGCCAACGAUGGAUAGGGGUUCUGAGAGGAAGGUCCCCCACAUUGGAACUGAGACACGGUCCAAACUCCUACGGGAGGCAGCAGUGAGGAAUAUUGGUCAAUGGACGAGAGUCUGAACCAGCCAAGUAGCGUGAAGGAUGAAGGUCCUACGGAUUGUAAACUUCUUUUAUAAGGGAAUAAACCCUCCCACGUGUGGGAGCUUGUAUGUACCUUAUGAAUAAGCAUCGGCUAACUCCGUGCCAGCAGCCGCGGUAAUACGGAGGAUGCGAGCGUUAUCCGGAUUUAUUGGGUUUAAAGGGAGCGCAGACGGGUCGUUAAGUCAGCUGUGAAAGUUUGGGGCUCAACCUUAAAAUUGCAGUUGAUACUGGCGUCCUUGAGUGCGGUUGAGGUGUGCGGAAUUCGUGGUGUAGCGGUGAAAUGCUUAGAUAUCACGAAGAACUCCGAUUGCGAAGGCAGCACACUAAUCCGUAACUGACGUUCAUGCUCGAAAGUGUGGGUAUCAAACAGGAUUAGAUACCCUGGUAGUCCACACGGUAAACGAUGGAUACUCGCUGUUGGCGAUAUACUGUCAGCGGCUUAGCGAAAGCGUUAAGUAUCCCACCUGGGGAGUACGCCGGCAACGGGUGCAACUCAA